UUUCAUUGUUGGCAUACUAUGUUAUUUUUAAUUUAAUGCCAGGUAUUUGUAAGAAAAAGAGUAGAGAAUAUUUGAGGCUCUGCAGGAAGAUGUUGCUUUUGUUUAUGGCAGUCAAAUGGACUAGAUGCAGAUCAACUUGACACAGUCAUGAUUUGAAAUGAUUGAAAUAUGUACUUCAGUCUUUGCAAGGGCUGAAUCUCUUUACAGUCACCCUUACUCCUGGUGUUCUUUGAAUUCCUAUCAGAAAGUUUUGGGUGUACACUGGGAUCAUUAUGGGACCUGAACAUCAAUAUUUGCUCCCAUAUACACCAGCUUUGAGAGAUUGCUGUAAGUUGUAUUCGUAUUAUUUGUCUCUUAGUACUCACUUUAAUUUGGGAAACUGUCUUGAGGGAAAAAGCAGCUUCAGAAUUUUCUCGAAAAUCUCUUCAGAUUUUUUUUUUCUCUCAAAGAUCUUCACCCCAGGAAUACUCACUGCUUUGGAAUAUCUCUGAUCCCUUUGAACAGAUGUUUGUCUAGUUGUUCUUGACAGAAAUAAUGGAUUAAAACAAGCCAAUCUGCCAGGCUAGCAUGGAAAUCUUUUGCUUUUUGAUGCCUUUUUAGGGAAUUCAAAAUGCAUAAGAAAAUAAAAUUGUCUGGGCGUGGUGACUCAAGCCUGUAAUCCCAGCAUUUUGGGAGGCCGAGGCGGGUGGAUCAUGAGGUCAAGAGAUCGAGACCAUCCUGGUCAACAUGGUGAAACCCCGUCUCUACUAAAAAUACAAAAAAUUAGCUGGGCAUGGUGGUACAUGCCUGUAAUCUCAGCUACUCGGGAGGUUGAGGCAGGAGAAUUGCCUGAACCCAGGAGACGGAGGUUGCAGUGAGCCGAGAUCGCGCCAUUGCACUUCAGCCUGGGUAACAAGAGCAAAACUCCAUCUCAAAAAAAAAAAAGAAAAUUGUACUUUUUUGUUAUUUUAAAUGUUUGUUGAUGGCUGUAAGACUAAUAAUUUAUCCUUUUUUUCUUUUUCUGUUUCCUAUUUGUAUGAAUUCCAGAGAUACAAGUAGUUUUAUUACAUGAAUUUAUUGCAUAGUGGUGAAGUCUGCGCUUCUAGUGUAUCCAUCACCCUAAUAAUGUACAUCGUACCCAUUAAGUACUUCUUAUCCUUCACCACCCUCCCAAGUCUCCAGCAUCUAUCAUUUUACCCUCUGUGUCCAUGUGUACACAUUAUUUAGCUCACUUGGCUCCCACUAAGUGAGAAUGAAUAUAUGGUAUUUGACUCUUCUUCUGAGUUAUUCACCUCUGGUCCAUCCACAUUACUGCAAAAGAUAUUUCAUUCUCUUUUUAUGACUGAAUAGUAUUCCAUUAUAUAUCACAUUUCCUUUAUACAGUCAUUCAUUGAUGGACACCGGUUGAUUCCAUAUCUUUGCUAUUAUGAAUAGUGCUACAAUAAAUAUAUGACUGCAGGUAUCUUUUUAAUAUGAUUGGUUUUUUUUGGGUAGAUACCCGGUAGUAGGAUUUCUGGAUUAAAAGGUAGUUCUAUGUUUAGUUCUUUGAGAAAUCUCCACACUGUUUUCCACAGCCAUUGUACUAAUUUACACUCCCACCAACAGUGUAUAAGCAUUCCUUUUUCUCCCAUCCUCACCAAUAUCUGUUAUUUUUAUUACCAUUUUACAAUAGCCAUUCUGACUGGUAUAAAAUGAUACUUCAUUAUGGUAUUAAUUUGCAUUUUUCUGAUGAUUAGUGAUGAUCAUUUUUAAUAUUUUAUUCUGUAAUAUAUAUUUAGUGUAUGCAGAUCUGGCCUUUGAAUUCUGGCACACUUUUUGGGAUAUCUAUAGGACAAUGUGAAAUCUAUUAUGAGUUUUAUUCAUAGUAAAGAAUCAAAAGCAACCAAAAAAGAUGUACAAAUGGCCAAUAAGCACAUGAAAAUAUGCUAGAAAUUAUUAGUCAUCAAGGAAAUGCAAAUCAAAAUCUCAAUAUACUUCACGCUCAUUAGAAUGGCUAGAAUAAAAAAGUUAGAUAAUAAGAAAUGCUGAUAGAGAUGUGGAAAAAUUGGAAUCCUCAUAGACUAAUGGUCGAAAUGUAAAAUGGUGCAACCCACUUUGGAAAACACUAUGGCAGUCACUUCAACAGUUAAACAUUAUGUUAUCAUAUGACCUAGCAACUCCACUUCUAUAAACUCAAGAGAAAAUAAGACAUAUGUUCACACAAAAAUUUCCACAUGAAUGUUCGUAACAGCAUUAUUCACAGUAACCAAAAGGUAGAAACUAUCCAAAUAUUUAUCAACUGAUGAAUGGACAAAGUUGUGUAUAUCCAUACAGUGGGAUAUUAUUUGGCCAUACAAAGUACUGAUACAUGCCACAACAUGGAUGAACCUUAAAAACAUUAUGGAAAGUGAAAAAAACCAGUCCCCCAAUACCACAUAUUCUAUCACAUUAUUAAUAUGAAAGUCCACAAUAGGGAAAUAUUUAAAGAUAGGAAGUGUAUUAAUGAUUGUUUAGGACCAGUGGGGACAAUAUUGACAGCUAAAGGGUAUGGGGUUUCUUUUUGAGGUGAUGAAAAUUUAUUAAAAUUGAUGAUGGUUGUACUUAUAUGUGAAUAUAAAUUUUUUAAUUAUUAAAGUGUUUACUUUAAAUGUAUGUGAAUUAUGGCUGCGUUAUUAUAGAAAUUUUUCAACAUACAAAAAGAUUUAAAGGAUAUUAUAAUGAACCCUCAUGCAUCUAUCACAUCUUCAACAAUUAUGUAUGUUUUUAACCAAUGAAAGAUGUUUUCUAAAGAUGCAGCUGACAUAGGCGGAUUCAUACACUAAGAGUAAAGAGCCAGGAUUGAGAGAUUAGUUGAAAAUUUAGAAGGGAAAAGUGAUAAUUGAUACAGCAAAGUUUUUGAGGAGGCAAGUGAUAGAGUGUAGUGCAGGUGGAGAGACCCUGGCUCCAGAUAGUAAGAAAGACUCUGUGGCGACUCUUGUGGAGGCAGCUAACACGAGGCUGGGGAGCACUGAGCUGCGCAUCAUGCCCUGCGCUGCCCAGACUAUUGAACAGUACAGUCAGGAUGGGUAAAGGUGAUCCCAUGAAACCAAAGGGCAAGAUGUUUGCCUAUGCCUUCUUUGUGCAGACGUGCAGGGAAGAACAUAAGAAAAACCCAGAGGUCCCUGUCAAUUUUGCAGAAUUUUCCAAGAAAUGCUCUGUGAGGUGGAAGACAAUGUCUGGGAAAGUGAAAUAUAUCUAAAUUUGAUGAAAUAGCAAAGGUGGAUAAAGUGUGCUAUAAUCGGGAAAUGAAGGAUUAUAGACCAGCUAAGGGAGGCAAGAAGAAGAAUCGUAAUGUCCCAAAAGGCCACUGUCAGGAUUCUUCCUGUUCUGCUCAGAAUUCUGCCACAAGAUCAAAUCCACAAACCCUGGCAUCUCUAUUGGAGAUGUGGCAAAAAAGCUGAGUGGGAUGUGGAAUAACCUAAAUGACAGUGAAAAGCAACCUUAUAUCACUAAGGUGGCAAAGCUGAAGAAGUAUGAGAAGGAUGUUGCUGACUACAAGCCGAAAGGAAAGGUUGAUGGUGCAAAGGGUCCUGCUAAAGUUGCAUGGAAAAACGUGGAAGAGGAAGAUGAAGAAGACGAGGAAGAAGAGGAGGAGGAGGAAGAGGAUAAAUAAAAAAACUGUUUAUCUCUCUCCUUGUGAAUACUUAGAGUAGGGGAGCGCCAUAAUUGACACAUCUCUUAUUUGAGAAGUGUCCGUUUCCCUCAUUAGAUUUAAUUACAAAAUUUGAUCAUGAUCAUAUUGUAGUCUCUCAAAGUGCUCUAGAGAUUGUCAGUAGUUUACAUGAAGUGACCAUGGGUGUCUGGAGCACCCUGAAACUGUAUCAAAGUUGUACAUAUUUCCAAACAUUUUUAAAAUGAAAAGGCACUCUCAUAUUCUCCUCAUUCUGUGCACUUUGCUGUUGGUGUGACGAGGCAUUUAAAGAUGUUUCUGGCAUUUUUUUUUAUUUGUAAGGUGGUGUUAACUAUAUAGCUAUUGGCUAGAAAUCCUGAGUCAUCAACUGUCUAUAUCUAUAGUUUGUAAAAGGAACAAAACAACCAAGACAAACUCUUGAUGCUCCUUGUUUGGCAUUGAGGCUGUAGGGAAGAUGCCUUUUGGAGGGGCUGUAGCUCAGUCAUGCACUCUGAGGCUGGAUCUGUUUACUCUGCAGUGGGCAUCUGUUUAGCGCCAGGUUGUCUUGUUUCUGUAUAUAGUGACAUAGCAUUCUGCCACCAUCUUAGCUGUGGAUAAAGCGGGUCAGCUGGCAUAAGAAUUUUUUGUUUUGUUUUUGUUUUUUAGUUAAGUGAGGUAGUUUUUGAACUGUUUGUUUUUAUACAAACUGUAAAACUCUUCAUUGUCAGCAAAGUGAAGAGCCACUGCAUCAAUGAAAGUUCAAGAAUCUUCUGUACUUAAACACAAUUUGCAACGUUCUGUUAUUUUUUUGUAUGUUUAGAAUGCUGAAAUGUUUUUUGAAGUUAAAUAAACAAUAUUACAUUUUUAAAACUGUUCUCUAUUAUAACAGUCAGUUUCUGACUCACAACAGUGAACAAACCCCCACUCCAUUGUAUUUGGAGACUGGCCUCCCUAUAAAUAUGGUAGCUUCCUUUAUUACUCACUGGCCAGUUCACUUAGGGCUGAGAUGAAGGAGAGGGCUACUUGAAGCUACUGCCUGCUUUUGUUUGUGUCUGAGUGGCAUUAAGAUGAAGUCUGGAGGAGCCAAGAGAAGGACAUAGGCAAGGUUCAACAGCCUUCCAAGGUACAGGAAGGUGGGUGAUUAGGACUGAGGCUGACUGCUAGGUUUAACUUUCUCUAUUCCACCUCCACCCCCUAUUUUGUGGGCCAAAUGCAUUGCUAAAUAGCAAUUUCAGACUGUAUGUUGUUUCAGAAAUUCAGGCCUUAGUUUUCCUCUUUCACCUCUACCCCCAUGCUCCUGGCACAUAUCACGUUAUUUGUGGUGCCCAACAUUUGGGGUCUUGAGCCUGCUGCUUGUCUCCUGGAAGCCAGUGAGGGUAUGUGGGAUGGGGUCGUGGAGUAGGAGAAAGUAUCUAUCUUUUUGCUCCUACUUUACACCUUCAAAACACCAAAUCCUCAAGGAAGAUUGUAGGUUCCAUCUUGGGACACCUGAGCUAUAGGGCAGGCUAAUGGAAUCAACCAUUUCUAAGCACUAAAUGUAUCAUGAAAAGUUGAAUGGCCUACUCACAAGUUUAGCUUGUUCACUGGAAAUGUAGAUUAAUGUUCAAUGUUUUUAAACUGGAAGAAGAUUGGUUUGUGUGUCAGUGGUUAUAUUAGUGAGUAGAGUAAGAUUUUAUCCAGGUUGGAGUGAGGGGAGAUGGCCACAAUGGCAAGUGGUGACACUAAAUGCCAUUUUGAAGGCUGAUAUAUACAUACAUCAUUACUGUCUGUAGCAAUGAAUGAUACAGUACUGUGUUGUGGGUGAGUGUUGCUAUUGCCCAGCAUUAAUAUUUGAGUGCAUAUGUUUGAGGCUAUGAGACAUGCAGAGGUGUUUUCGUGGUAUUAAUUUUAAGAGAAAGCAGCUUUUUCUUAAAAUUCACUGUUCAGAAACUCAUAUGUCUGGAGGCGGUGUCCUCUCUACCCUCUCAGGUCCUGGAUGAGUACAGGUUAUGGUCACGGUGACAGCCUGAUCUCUAUAUAUUCAUAUCAAUUCCUUCUCCCUUCAGAACUGUUUAUCCUAAAUGUGUUCUGUGGUUCUAAAAAAUGACCACUAAUUUAAAAAACUCAGUUGUGAGGUUUGCCCAGAGGCACUUGUUCCAGAAUUGCCCCUCCUGCUUCAGCUAUGUCCUUGUAAUUUGGUAUUCUAAGCUAAAGCUUCUGCUUCCCAAUCCAUGAUGUGCUAGGCCAAGAUUUGGGAGCUGUGGCCAGCCUUGUCAAAUGUGAAAAAGAAACAACCUGUAGUGAAAAAAGAGUGAUUUGUUAAGUAGUGCCCAUCUACCUUGUAACUAGACAUACUAACCAGGGAAGGGCAAAGGAUGGAAAGGGGUAACUUGUGCUUCCAAAGUAGCUAAGCAGAAGUGGCAAAGCAGUUUAGCCAAAUGAUCUUUGAUUUAGCAAACACUGAGUUUUGAAGAGGCUGUCAAGUUGAGACUAGUUGGUCCAUUAGCUGGUGCAGCAAGACCACUCACUACUCAAUGUUUUCACACUGUCACAAGGUUGCUCCUCUAAUGGAAUAAUAACCUAGUUUCUCUGAGAUGCUGUAAGUGGCAUGGUGUUACCUAAGGCUUAGGCUUAGCUUGAUUUUUGGGCCCACUGUAUGUGUUCUUAAGAUGCCAACCUGCUGCUCUUUUUUUUUCCAUUUAAAAAGAUAGUACCUAUUCCCUCUAACCACCUCACCCCAUUCAUGAAUGACAUUUUAUCCUUUGGAAAGAACAAGGCUGUGAUGAAGUGACUAUUGUCUGUUUCUCCUGUGUGUGUGUCUGUUCUUGUCACAAAUGUAUUUUGGAAUGUUAGAUGCAUUCAUUUUUCUGUAAUUAAGUUUCUUAAUCACUCUUCCC